UGCAGUCGAGCGCCCCGCAAGGGGAGCGGCAGACGGGUGAGUAACGCGUGGGAACGUACCUUUUGCUACGGAAUAACUCAGGGAAACUUGUGCUAAUACCGUAUGUGCCCUUCGGGGGAAAGAUUUAUCGGCAAAGGAUCGGCCCGCGUUGGAUUAGCUAGUUGGUGAGGUAAAGGCUCACCAAGGCGACGAUCCAUAGCUGGUCUGAGAGGAUGAUCAGCCACACUGGGACUGAGACACGGCCCAGACUCCUACGGGAGGCAGCAGUGGGGAAUAUUGGACAAUGGGCGCAAGCCUGAUCCAGCCAUGCCGCGUGAGUGAUGAAGGCCCUAGGGUUGUAAAGCUCUUUCACCGGUGAAGAUAAUGACGGUAACCGGAGAAGAAGCCCCGGCUAACUUCGUGCCAGCCGCCCGCGGUAAAAAUCCCCUUCCCUCAAUAAAAAAGCGCCAC
rnacentral:rRNA from 1 species